GCCUAACACAUGCAAGUCGAGCGAACUCUUCGGAGUUAGCGGCGGACGGGUUAGUAACGCGUGGGAAUAUGCCCUUUGGUACGGAACAACAGUUGGAAACGACUGCUAAUACCGUAUGCGCCCUACGGGGGAAAGAUUUAUCGCCAAAGGAUUAGCCCGCGUUGGAUUAGGUAGUUGGUGAGGUAACGGCUCACCAAGCCGACGAUCCAUAGCUGGUUUGAGAGGAUGAUCAGCAACACUGGGACUGAGACACGGCCCAGACUCCUACGGGAGGCAGCAGUGGGGAAUCUUAGACAAUGGGCGCAAGCCUGAUCUAGCCAUGCCGCGUGAGUGAAGAAGGCCCUAGGGUCGUAAAGCUCUUUCACCGGUGAAGAUAAUGACGGUAGCCGGAUAAGAAGCCCCGGCUAACUCCGUGCCAGCAGCCGCGGUAAUACGGAGGGGGCUAGCGUUGUUCGGAAUUACUGGGCGUAAAGCGCGCGUAGGCGGGCUGUUAAGUCGGGGGUGAAAUCCCGGGGCUCAACCCCGGAACUGCCUCCGAUACUGGCAGCCUAGAGAUCUGGAGAGGCGAGUGGAAUUCCGAGUGUAGAGGUGAAAUUCGUA
rnacentral:rRNA from 1 species